rnacentral:lncRNA from 1 species
GAACCACUGAUGACUGAUGAUUUGAAUCUGCUUGCUACUGAUUCUAUCUGCCCCAGGGGGAAAAAACGACUUGAGGUGACCAUGACGGAGGCAGAGCUGGUCUUUCAUAAAAAGAAGAAAAAGAACAAGACCAAGAAGCAACUUUUAGAGGCGGUGCCGGAGCCCGGCAAUCCUCCUGAGACAACCACUACGGGAGUCGACUCUCACAAGAAACAUAAACACAAAAAGAAGAAAACAAAGAGUGAGAAAGAUGACUGUGGACCCGUCGAGGGCCAGUGUGACACAAGAGAAGGGCAAAACAAAAAGAAAAGAAAACACAAUGCAGAGACCGUAAGUGUGACACAAGAGGCUGCAGAUGCUGCUGCUGCUCAGGAGAGAGAGGUGAAGAAAAAGAAGAAGAAAAGGAGAAUUGAAGAGCCAGACCGUCCUGGAGAGAACUCAGAAGCAGAGGUGGCACUCACAGCGGUGCAAACCAACCUUGAACCAGUCCCCCAGAAACGAGUGAAGCGCAAGGCAAAGGUCAGAAAGACACACACACAGCCUGCUGUAGACACACACUCUCCCACAGACGCACGGCUUCACCCAGAUGAUGUGCCUAAAGCGCCUGUGCUGGACAUUGACUAUGCCAUCUGGCAGGAUAUCCUGGUCUUCCAUAAAAAGAAGAAGAACAAGACCAAGAAGCAACUUUUAGAGGCGGUGCUGGAGCCCGGCAAACCUCCUGAGACAACCACUACGGGAGUCGACUCUCACAAGAAACAUAAACACAAAAAGAAGAAAACAAAGAGUGAGAAAGAUGACUGUAGACCCGUCGAGGGCCAGUGUGACACAAGAGAAAGGCAGAACAAAAAGAAAAGAAAACACGAUGCAGAGAACGUAAGUGUGACACAAGAGGCUGACAAUGCCAUCCGGCAGGAGAUCCAGGAGUUCCUGCCUCACUUCACGUUUAGCAACAGCGGCGAGGUGCAGAAGGUCAUCAAGUACGACCUGCCCCGCUUCAGGGUAUUCAAGAAGCAAGGUGAGUAA